rnacentral:rRNA from 1 species
UGGGGGAUAUUGCACAAUGGGCGAAAGCCUGAUGCAGCGACGCCGCGUGGGGGAUGAAGGCUUUCGGGUUGUAAACCUCUUUCGCUAUCGAACAAGGCCCGCUUAGGGUGGGUUGAGGGUAGGUGGAGAAGAAGCGCCGGCUACCUACGUGCCAGCAGCCGCGGUAAUACGUAGGGCGCGAGCGUUGUCCGGAAUUAUUGGGCGUAACGGGCUUGUAGGCGGCUUGUUGCGCCUGCUGUGAAAACGCGGGGCUUAACUUCGCGCGUGCAGUGGGUACGGGCAGGCUUGAGUGUGGUAGGGGUGACUGGAAUUCCAGGUGGAGCGGUGGAAUGCGCAGAUAUCUGGAGGAACACCGAUGGCGAAGGCAGGUCACUGGGCCAUUACUGACGCUGAGGAGCGAAAGCAUGGGUAGCGAACAGG